GGGAAAACUUUUAUUCCCGAAUCAUAACAAUAAUGAUUUUUAUUCCUGAAUCUGUUUUGCACUUAUGUGUCUGACUUUGCAACGUACCAUUAAAUUAAUAAAAUAAUAAAUAUAAUGAAGUGUUUUUCAAUUGCUUAUUUUAGGGACAUUUUGUCUGGUAAACAGAAUCAUAAUUAUUAUGAUUUCUUCUUCUCCUUCUUCUUCUUCUUCUUCUCCUUCUUCUUCUCCUUCUUCUCUUCUUCUUCUCCUUCUUCUUCUCCUUCUUCUUCUCUUCUUCUUCUCCUUCUUCUUCUUCUUCUCCUUCUUCUCUCCUUCUUCUUCUCCUUCUUCUUCUUCUCUUUCUUCUCCUUCUACUUCUCCUCUUCUCCUUCUUCUUCUCCUUCUUCUUCUGCUUCUUCUCCUUCUUCUUCUUCUCUCUUCUUCUUCUCCUUCUUCUCCUUCUUUCCUUCUCCUCCUUCUUCAUUCUUCUCCUUCUUCUACUUCUUCUUCAGCCUUCUUCUCCGCCUUCUUCUUCUCCUUCUUCUUCUUUCUUCUUCUCCUUCUUCUUCUUCUUGCUUCUUCUUCUUCUUCUCCUUCUCUUCUUCUUCUCUCCUUCUUCUUCUUCUCCUGCUUCUUCUUCUGUCUUCCUUCUCCUUCCUUAUUCAUUCUUCUCCUUCUUCUUCGGCUUCUUUCCUUCUCCUCCUUCCUUCAGUUCUUCUCUCUUCUCCUUCUUCUCCUUCUUCUCCUCCUUCUUCAUUCUCUUCUCUUCUCCUUCUUCCUUCUUCUUCCUUCUUCGCCUUCAUUCUUCAUUCUUCUUCUUCUCCUUCUCUUCUUCCUUCUUCGCCUUCUUCAUUCUUCUUCUUCUUCUCCUUCUCUCUUCAAUUACUUCCUUCUUCAUUCUUCUUCUUCUUCUCCUCUUCCUCCUUCUUCUUCAAUUACUUCUUCUUCUCUUCUUUCUUCUCCUUCUUUCUUCUCAUCUCUCUUCCCUCCUUCUUCUUCUCCUCCUUCUUCAUUCUUCUUCUUCUUCUCCUUCUUCUUCUCCUUCUUCUCCUUCUUCUUCCUUUCUUCUUCUUCUUCUUUCUUCUCCUUCUUCUCCUUCUUCUCAUCCUUCUUCUGCUUCUCCUCCUUCUCCUUCUUCUUCUCCUUCUCCUUCUUCUUCUUCUCCUUCUCCUCUUUCUCCUUCUUAUCCUUCUUCUCCACCUCCUUCUUCUUCUCCUUCUUCUCCACCUCCUUCUUCUUCUCCUUCUUCUUCCUCCCCUUCUUCUCUUCUCCUUCUUCUUCUUCUCUCCUUCUCCUUCUUCUCCUUCUUUCUCCUUCUUCUCCUUCUUCUUCUUCUCCUUCUUCUCCUCCUUCUUCUUCUCCUCUUCUCCUUCUUCUUCUUCUCCUCUUCUCUUCUCCUUCUCUCCUUCUCCGUCCUUUCGUUUGCUUCUUCUUCUUCUUCUCCGUCUCUUCUCCUUCUUCUUCUCCUUCUUCUUCCUCCUUCUUCUUCUUCUCCUUCUUUUCUCUUCUUCUCCUUCUUCUCCUUCUUCUCUUCGCCUCCUUCUUCUUCUUCUUCUUCUCCUCCUUCUCCUCCCUCUCCUCUCCUUUCUCCUCCUUCUC
ensembl:lncRNA